GGUAACACUCAUGUUAAAGCACUCAGGUUAACACAGUGGUGGCCAGCCAGCUGGGGCCGUGGGUUCUUGGCAGCUUCCUCCCACAGUUGAAAACAUGUACAGGUUAUGUUAACUGGUUGCACUGUGAUAACCAAUCAGGGCUUAGCAGAGUCAGAAGCAGGAAAUACUUCUCACAUGUGCGCUCGUGAUGGUUGAAGAGUCAUGAAUGAACCCAACUCCAUCCUUAUUUAUGACUUUGUGGAAAACACUGCCCAUCCUCCCAGCAGAGAUGUGAGCAGAGGAGGAGACAUGCGGCUCUUCUGAUUCCUUCUUUUUCAAUCCCUCCAUUUAAAAGCACAAGUUCACACUGCAGUAGUUGUGCGUCUUAAAUAUCUGCACAUCCUCUACAGAGAAAACAACUGUGAGUAAGAGGGACAGCUCCAUUUAAAAUGUAUUUAUACUUCAGUUUAUGUAAUAUAUAUUGGGACAUUUAUGUAUAACAGCUAUUUUGUGAUAUUUUGUAUUACUGAAUAUGACACUUUACCUUGUUUGUUACUGUUCUUAUUUAUUGGAGCACCUGUCAUCACAUACUUUCCUCUGGGAUUAAUAAACUAUUCUGAUUUCUCUGAAUCUCAUUUAUGCUCCAGAUCAGUUUGCAGACACUGAAAGCACAGUAAGGUGGUUUAA